rnacentral:tRNA from 1 species
UCCCUGGUGGCUUAGUGGUAAAGAAACUGCCUACCAAAGCAGGAGACCCAGGUUUGAUCCCUGGGGAGGGAA